UUUUGUAUUUUUAGUAGAGAUGGGGUUUCACUGUGUUAGCCAGGAUGGUCUCGAUCUCCUGACUUCGUGAUCUGCCUGCCUCGGCCUCCCAAAGUGCUGGGAUUACAGGUGUGAGCCACCACGCCUGGCCUGCUCCUGGUCAUUCUUAAAAGGCUGUGUGACAAAGGUCCCGGCAGUGGUGGCAGGGUACAAGGAAGGGUGUGCACAGGCUCCAGGGCGCGCCAUCAGCAAGUGAGGCAUGCGCCCUGCAGACACCUCCCUGUCCCUCUCUGUCCUGCAGGUGGGGCAUGAGGACACUGGCCACUCCUUGCAUGACUACAAGGAAGCUCUGAUGAUCCCCGCCAAGGAUGGCGUUAAGCUGCCUUACUUCUUCCACGCCGGAGAAACAGACUGGCAGGGUACUUCCAUAGACAGGAACAUUCUGGAUGCUCUGAUGCUGAACACUACCAGAAUCGGCCAUGGAUUUGCUUUGAGCAAACACCCCGCAGUCAGGACUUACUCCUGGAAAAA
rnacentral:lncRNA from 1 species